UGCCAUAUUACAUUUAUUCAUAGAGUCACCACAUAAUCUGAGGAAUGAAAGCUGCUUAGCCCUUUGAAGAGUUUCAAGUAAUGAUAUAUUUAAUGAAAAAGCAAAGUAUCAGCAGUCUGACAUCCAGUGCAAAUACAUACCAGACAUGCACUCUCCUCCGUGGCAGAUUUGGAAUAGAGGUUCCCUAAAACAUUGCAGAAGCUCUUUGCCAGUUAUACAAAUACAAAGUGAGUGGAGCGGCAUUUAUUUUGAAUAUCAUACUCUGAAAACAAAUGCUUUUUUAUUUUCUUUGAAUGUCGAUUUACUAACAGCAUGAUAAUAACUCACCAAUGCAAGAGCUGCAGUCAGCGACAACUGCAUCUCUUUUAGAAAGCUGUACUUUUGUUCCUUAAUCCUGUAUUCAGGGAAUACUGCAAGUUCUAAUAAUCAGCUUGCUACUUCUUAGACUUUGUUGUUAUAAAUGUAUUAACUUUUUCAUAAAGCAAUCUGUAUUUGCAAUUAAUCAAGUGAGUUGUCUCUUUAAGAUAGUAGCCUAGCAACUUCCCAGAAGCCAGGGGAAGUCCCAGUUGGUGCUGCAGACUGAUACAAUUAUUAUCUCAAACCUGAUCUAACUUGUGUGUGUUUCAAAACAUCCUUCUGAUUAAAAGAAUAGAAAAGAAAGUUUAGUGGAAACUGAAAAUACUGUUACAUCUCGGUAUGUAUUCUUUAUGUCCAUGUUUGCUAAAGAAUUUUUCAUGGAGAAAUUACUGGUUUAUUUGUCUAUAAAUAAGUACAGUCUUGUUUCUCAUUUACAAACAGGCCCAAAUAUGAAAAAGAAACAGCUGAUUUUGAUUGGUUUUCUUCAACUAGCUGUUCAUUCAAGUGGUGCAGAAGUAGGAUACUGGAAACCUGACAGCAUGCUUUCCAGGUAAUAAGUCAUAUACAUGAAGCUCUCAGAGAGAACUUUUCCAUUUCCAGAUAGCUGUUUGCUUGAUUCAGUAAGCAUAUUGUUCACCAUCACAUAUUCUAUUAAUGUGUUUUUCUACAGUUAUAUGUGCCAUAAAUCGUGAAACAGAAAUAUUCCUGGACAGUGUGUUCCUAUAGAAAUUAGUCAAAUAAAAUAUUAUAAAAGGUUGUGAUCA
rnacentral:lncRNA from 1 species